UGAAGCCAGGCUCUCUGACUUUAAGUCUAGUGCUCUUUCCACUGUGUAACAAAGAUUAAUGAAGAGAAAUCAUGUCCUAUUGUCCCUGGUAGAAAAAGCAAAGUACAGAUACUGCUACAUAAUCAUUCAUCUGCAGAUGUCUUUGUCAGCAAAUGUAGUAACUUACACAGAAGUCCUCAAACUAGAAUGAAUCCUCAGGUGACAAAUACCUCCUGGCCCUAGAGAUUUGCUGAUCCUACCAGACUGGUGUCUCAGUGGCUGUGGAGUUCACAGGGAGUCCAUGACCUUCACUGCAGCUGGGAAAGCAGCAUCUUUCCAGAAAUUAUUGUAAGGCAAGAUGAGGGAACAAAAGAGUCAGGCCACAGAGAAAAUAGGUCAUUAUUCUUACGAAAAGUUCACCACUUCAUAGAUGGAAGGAGCAAUAACAAAAAUAUGCACCCAAACAUUUGGCUUCUAAGUAAUGAGAGAUCAACAGCUAUUUCCACAGGGAUGCUACUUGGAGUUUGGCAGUCACUGAGAAAAUGCAACUGCCAUGAAGCUCACAGGCUGAAGUCACUGCUUGGUCACAUAGAUACCUGUAUUUGUGAAAAGAAAAGAAAGAAAGAAACCAUUGGCUACAUUGGGCUAUGACUAAUAAAAUCAUGAGUCUUAUAGCAGGGAAAGACCUCGAAAGACCUGGAGUAGGAGAAAUGGGUUCUUGUCUUCCAUCUAAAUCUCACCAAUGAUAUGACU